GACGAACGCUGGCGGCGUGCUUAACACAUGCAAGUCGAACGGUAAGGCCCUUCGGGGUACACGAGUGGCGAACGGGUGAGUAACACGUGGGUGAUCUACCCUGCACUUCGGGAUAAGCCUGGGAAACUGGGUCUAAUACCGGAUAGGACCCUGGGAUGCAUGUCCUGGGGUGGAAAGCUUUUGCGGUGUGGGAUGGGCCCGCGGCCUAUCAGCUUGUUGGUGGGGUGAUGGCCUCCCAAGGCGACGACGGGUAGCCGGCCUGGGAGGGUGACCGGCGACACUGGGACUGAGAUACGGCCCAGACGCCUACGGGAGGCAGCGGUGGGGAAUAUUGCACAGUGGGCGCAAGCCUGAUGCAGCGACGCCGCGUGAGGGAUGACGGCCUUCGGGUUGUAAACCUCUUUCAGCACCGACGAAGCGCAAGUGACGGUAGGUGCAGAAGAAGGACCGGCCAACUACGUGCCAGCCGCCGCGGUAA
rnacentral:rRNA from 1 species